rnacentral:rRNA from 1 species
UACGAGGGGAGCUAGCGUUGUUCGGAAUCACUGGGCGUAAAGGCGCGUAGGCGGCUUUAUAAGUCGGGGUGAAGCCUGAUCGGCUCAACCACGAGAAUUGCCUUCGAUACUGAUGAGAGCUUGAGGACCGGAGGAGGUAAGUGGAACUGCGAAGUGUAGAGGUAAAAUUCGUAGAUAUUCGACAAGAACACCGAGUGGCUCGAAGGCGGCUUACUGGUCCGGUUCUGACGACGUGAGGC